UACGUAGGCAGCAAGCGUUGUUCGGAGUUACUGGGCGUAAAGGGUGUGUAGGCGGCUUCGUAAGUUCGGUGUGAAAUCUCCUGGCUUAACCGGGAGGGUGCGCCGAAAACUGCGGAGCUGGAGCGCAGGAGAGGAAAGCAGAAUUCCUGGUGUAGCGGUGAAAUGCGCAGAUAUCAGGAAGAACACCCGUGGCGAAGGCGGUUCUCUGGGACGGUACUGACGCUGAGACGCGAAAGCGUGGGGAGCGAACAGG
rnacentral:rRNA from 1 species